rnacentral:rRNA from 1 species
GACAGAGGGGGCCAGCGUUGUCCGGAGUUACUGGGCGUAAAGCGCACGCAGGCGGCGGCUUAAGUGUCGUGUGAAAGCUCCCGGCUCAACCGGGAGAGGCCAUGGCAGACUGGGUCGCUGGAGCGCCGGAGAGGUCUCUCGAAUUGCUGGUGUAGUGGUGAAAUGCGUAGAGAUCAGCAGGAAGACCAAGGGGGAAGCCAGGGGGCUGGCCGGCUGCUGACGCUGAGGUGCGACGGCGUGGGGAGCAAACCGG